rnacentral:rRNA from 1 species
CCCUUAGACGUUCUGGGCCGUACGCGCGCUACACUGACCAGUGCAACAAGCAUCCGUCCUUGGCCGACAGGCCCGGGCAAUCUUUGAACGCUGGUCGUGAUGGGGAUAGACUUUUGCAAUUUUUGGUCUUCAACGAGGAAUUCCUAGUAAACGCAAGUCAUCAACUUGCAUUGAUUACGUCCCUGCCCUUUGUACACACCGCCCGUCGCACCUACCGAUUGAAUGGUCCGGUGAAGCCUCCGGAUUGGCGCGCACCUCGGUGCCGCCGAGAAGUUGGCUAAACCUUACCAUUUAGAGGAAGGUGAAGUCGUAACA